CCAGAGAACUUUGAGAUUUCUUUUAUUUAUUUUUCUUAAAAUGAAAUGUUAUGAUUACAACUUAUUUAUACUCAAAGCUUAAGGAUUACUAAAGCUAAUGACUAACUGAUUCAGUAGAAACUACACAUGCAUAACCACAGCUCGAUAUACAGAGUAAUCACACCAGACUGUUAACUACUUGAGCUGAGGUGGCAGCUGAGCUGUGAUUCUACUUACAUUCGUCUGACGUCACCAGCUUGCUGGUUUUCCUUAGCUUGUGCAGCUUCCUCUUUUCUGCACAGUGAGCUUCUCUAACAGCCCCCCUCAAACUCAAAGGACAUGAAUGAACAUUGAGUUUUGCCCUCAAGUAAUUAAACUGUAUGAAGGAAAGAGGCUUAGUCAUUAUGUCUGCAACUUGAUCUGCACUUGCUAUAUAUUGAAUGCUGAGCUCCUUAUUAAGAACCUUGUUGCGAAUAAAGUGUAUGUCAAUCUCAAUGUGUUUUGUUCUGGAAUGGUAAACUGGGUUCUUGGCUAAUUCAGCUGCACUAAUGUUAUCACACCAAAUAAUAGGUUUAGCUGUGCAGCAUACUCCAAUUUCAGCAAACAAGGACUGCAGCCAAGUUAAUUCUGCACUAGUUGAUGCCAAUGCCCUGUACUCACUCUCGGCACUUGACCUAGCUAUUACUCCUUGCUUUUUAGAAGACCAUGAUAUAAGAUUAUUACCCAAGUAGAUACAAUAUGCACUCACUGAUUUUCUGUCAUCUAAGUCACAUGCCCAAUCAGCAUCUGUAAAUCCAGUAAGCUCCAUAUUGCCUUCUUUGAUGAACUUUAAACCAUAGUCCUGAGUGGCCUUUAGAUAUCUUAAAACCCUUUUAAAUGCCAUGAGAUGCUGUAGUGUAGGAGCAGAUACAUACUGACUAAGUUUGUUAACUGCAAAAGCAAUCUCAGGUCUUGUCAAAACCAGAUACUGCAUGCUUCCAACAAUGCUUCUAUAGUAUGUGGGAUCUUCAAGAUAAUGGCCAAGCUGUCCUUGAACAGACUUCUGUAAUUUCAGACCAGUACUUAAAGGAGUAUCAAUGCCCUUACAAUCAAUCAUAUCAACCUUAGCUAACAAAUCUCUGAUGUAUUUCCUCUGAGACAGAAAUAUGCAAUCUUCAUCAUAUAAGACUUCUAUCCCAAGAAAAUAAGAUAAAAUGCCAAGAUCUUUUAAAGCAAAAGUUGAGCUUAGUGUUGCAAUAAAAUGUUCUAAUUCAGCACUGCUAGGACCUGUAACCAAGAUAUCAUCCACAUAUAUCAACACAAGAAUCAUGGAAGUAUGACUCCUUUUCAAAAACAGAGAUGUAUCAGAAGUAGUAUUAGUGAAUCCCCACUGCAGCAAGCAACUCUUAAGUUUAUCAUACCAAGCUCGAGGAGCUGGUUUAAGUCCAUAAAGAGACUUGUGCAGUUUACACACAUAACCAGGCUUUGUGUUGUCAAUAAAACCUGUUGGCUGAGACAUAUAAACCUCUUCUGUCAAAUCCCCAUUGAGAAACGCAUUAUUGACAUCAACUUGUCUAAUUUUCCAUUUGUUCAUCACUGCUGAACUUAAUACCACUCUGACAGUUGCUGGUUUAAUAACUGGACUAAAAGUUUCAAAGUAGUUUACUCCUGCAAUUUGCUGAAAACCUUUGGCAACAAGCCUAGCUUUGUAUUUGGCUACACUCCCAUCAAUGUUGUAUUUAAUCCUAUACACCCACUUAUUAUCCACAAUCUGUUGAUCAGACUCUUUAGGAACCAGGGACCAAGUAUCAUUGUGAACUAAGGCCUCAUACUCAUCCUGCAUAGCCUUCACCCAUCUGGAAUCACUCAAAGCUUCUUGCACUGUAUCUGGUUCUUUGUGAGUGAGAAUGGCUGUAUACACUUUUGGUUUAAAAAUGCCAGAUUUGCUUCUGGUGGUCAUAGGAUUAAUGUUGGAUUGUAUUUGGGGUGAGUCAACAGGAAGAGUUAAUGAUGUUGUAUUAUCAGAAGCAGAUAAGAAAUGUUGUGUAUUAACAGGUAGAUGAGUUUGAGAACUUACUUGCUGUUAAUUUUGAUCAUUUGUUGUUUGUGCAGGAUUUUCUGAGUGAGUUAAGUUGCUACUGUCAAGAUUUGCAUAUAAGGAAUAACCAGUGCUAUUUUCAGUAAAUGAUUGAACAACAGGCAAAGUGGAAAGAUGAUAUAUUUGCUGAGGAGAAAAGGAAGUAGAAGAAAGAUGUGAUGAUGAUGACUCAGUGAAACAAUGAAAGCCAGAAUCAGUAGAGUAAGGAAAAGUGAGUUCAUCAAAUAUGACAUGUCUUGCUAUGUAGAGAUGACCUGAAUGAUGUAAGCACUUGUAACCUUUGUGUGAUGAACUAUAUCCUAGAAAGAUACAUUUGCUGGAAUGAUAGUCAAAUUUGUGUUGGUUAUAAUCCCUCAAGUAAGGAUAGCAUGUACAACCAAAACACUUAAGCAUAUCAUAGUUGGGUUGGUGUUUGAAAAGUUUCUCAUAGGGAGACAAAAGUUUGAGAACAACAGAAGGCAAUCUAUUUAUGAUGUACACAACUGUAUGAAAUGCUUCCCACCAAAAUUUAAAGGGUAAUUUAGAUUGAGCUAGCAGUGUAAGUCACAUUUCAACAAUAUGCCUAUGUUUUCUCUCAACCAAUCCAUUUUGAUGAUGAGUGUAUGGGCAGGAGUGUCUAAAGAUGAUACCACACUGAUUUAAGAACUCAGUGAAAGGUCUGUACUCACCCCCCCAAUCAGAUUGUAACUGCUUAAUGGUGGUUUGAAACUGAUUUUCAACCUGUGUUUUGAAAAGCUUAAAGACAUUUAGAGCUUCAGACUUAAACUUUAGAGGGUAGAUCCAGGUAAACCUGCUAAAAUCAUCCAAAAAACUGAUAUAAUAGUGAUAUCCAUCUCUAGUGUAGACAGGUGAAGGACCCCAGAGAUCUGUAUGUAUCAGUUCUAAAAACUUGGUUGUUUUGGUUGUGGAUGCAGGGAAAUGAAGCUUAUGGCCUUUGCCCAUUUGACAAGCUUCACAGAUGUAUUGCAGUGCCUGUUUUAUUUGAUUAUCAGAAAAAUUUGCAGACUUGAUAUUUUUGAGAACAUGCUUUAAGAUAUAUUGAUUGGGAUGACCAAAUCUAUUAUGAAACAAAGAAAUUUUAUUCACUGAUGUUGUACAAGAUAAUGCAGUAGAUGAAUAACAAGAUUUUGAAUGGCUACAAUCUGCAUUAUUAACAUCAGUUACAGAAUUAAAAUGAAAACAUGACAGCAUUGACAUUGGCUUAUUUGAAUUGAUCUGAGAUAGAAAAGAUGAUUUAGAGGAUGAGAAUGGUUUGAAUAACAGCCUGUAUAAUCCUUUUUCAGCAAUACCCUGCAGCAGAACUUCCCCCUUCAGAGCAUCCUUCACAUAACAAAUAUUUCCAAGAAAUUCAACAGACAAAUGGUUAUCAGAUGUGAGUUUAGAAAUACUCAAUAAAUUUUUGGUAAUUGAAAGGACAAGAAGAAUAUCUUUCAGUACUAUGUGUGGGUGUUUGUGUUGAGCAAAUGAAGUUUUAAAAACAAAGUUAGCAUCACCAAUAUGAGUUAUGGGCAAACCUUGUCCAUUUCCAAUGAUAAGCUGAUCAGAACCAUUGAAUUCCUCUCUGACCUGGAUAUUAGCCAUGUUGUUGGUUAAGUGAUGAGUUGCUCCACUAUCAAGAUACCACCCUUCAUCAGCAGGCCCUUCAAAAUUUGCAAGAUAAGCAGCUCCAGGUGCAGAAGACAUUUCAGAUGAACAAUGAGGCAUAGAAGAAUAUGUCACUGGAUCCAGAUUGUAAGACUGAUAAUUUGAGCAGUUCAUAGCAUAAGAAUCAUCAAAAUAUGGUGCAAACUCAGCAUGUGGUUCAAAUGUAGUCAUGUAAGCUGACUUAGGUCCUCUUCCUCUACCAAAAUGCCUUGACUGUGGCACGUAAUUCUCAAUGUAUCUGUGCCAACAAGCAUCAGUUGUGUGCCCUGACUUAUGACAUAUCUGACAAACAGGAAUGUUAUCAUCUGAUUCAGUUCCAGCUGACACAAAACCUUGACCAUGAGACUUAGGAUGUGAUAAAACUUUGUGAAAUUGCAUUGGCAUAGAGUUGCCUCUUCCAAAAUUAUGACCAUUGUUAUUAAAGCCUCUAGGAUAUGUAUUAAACAUCAUUCCUCUUCCAGCAUUUCUGUUUCCAUUAUGAAUUUUUCCACGAUAUCCUCCAUAACCAAAACCUCCUCUUCUAUUAUUCCCUCUGACUUGAGAAUAAUUGGAAUUCAUCACUCCAUAGUUAGCAUUGAACAUGACUUUAGUAUUCUGAUUGGUCUGACUUUGUUCUAAUCGUGCCUCAUGUGUUAACAGUAAGGCAUAAGCAUCAUAAUAAGACAUCUUAUUAGCUGUGAUAAUAGAUGCAAGAUCUAGAUAACCAGUUCCUAAUCCAUUUAGAACUUGCAUUAACAUAUCCCUUUCUGACAUAGGACUACCAGCACAGGCAAGUUUAUCAGCUAAUAUUUUGACUUUUAAACAAUAUUCUUCAACAGACAUGGAUUCCUUUCUAAGUACAUUCAAUUCAUAACGAAGUUGCAUUAUUUUAGCUUCAGAUUGAGCUCCAAAUUGUUUCUCAAUAGAUCUCCAAGCAUCUCGUGAAUUGUCACAAUUAAGAAUAGAACUGAGAAUACCUUCAUUAACUGAUGAUAACAGCCAGCCAAGUAGUAUUUGAUCCUAAGCUCUCCAAUUUAUGUAUGCUGGAUUAUCUACUUUCUGCACUGAUCCAUCAACUGUUGUUUGAAUGAUAUGUUGCUCUGGUAUGAUCUGAUUUUCAGAUAUGAAAUCUUCAAGCCGAUUUCCUCUGAUUGAUGUAAGAACUUGUUUUCUCCAGAUUAGGAAAUUAGAUCGAUCUAGUUUUAUUGGAUUACUGAAUGAGAAUGAGAUCUGUGAAUAUUGAUUUGCAUUUGUUGAAUUUGAAAGUGUUGUUGUGUUGCUGGAACUAGCCAUACUGGCUCUAAUACCAUGAAAGAAAUUAAGAGAAAAUAUUGUUUGGUUGCUGAGAAAAUAUCUCAGAAAAUUUCCAGAGAACUUUAAGAUUUCUUUUAUUUAUUUUUCUUAAAAUGAAAUGUUAUGAUUACAACUUAUUUAUACUCAAAGCUUAAGGAUUACUAAAGCUAAUGACUAACUGAUUCAGUAGAAACUACACAUGCAUAACCACAGCUCGAUAUACAGAGUAAUCACACCAGACUGUUAACUACUUGAGCUGAGGUGGCAGCUGAGCUGUGAUUCUGCUUACAUU
rnacentral:lncRNA from 1 species